rnacentral:tRNA from 1 species
GCCUGGGUGGCUCAGUCAGUUAAGCGUCUGACUUUAACUCAGGUUAUGAUCUUAUGGUUCGUGGAUUUGAACCCCACAUCAGGCU